rnacentral:rRNA from 1 species
AUUGAACGCUGGCGGCAUGCCUUACACAUGCAAGUCGAACGGCAGCACGGGAGCAAUCCUGGUGGCGAGUGGCGAACGGGUGAGUAAUAUAUCGGAACGUGCCCAGUCGUGGGGGAUAACGCAGCGAAAGCUGUGCUAAUACCGCAUACGAUCUAAGGAUGAAAGCGGGGGAUCGCAAGACCUCGCGCGAUUGGGGCGGCCGAUAUCAGAUUAGCUAGUGGGUGGGGUAAAGGCCCACCAAGGCGACGAUCUGUAGCUGGUCUGAGAGGACGACCAGCCACACUGGAACUGAGACACGGUCCAGACUCCUACGGGAGGCAGCAGUGGGGAAUGUUGGACAAUGGGCGCAAGCCUGAUCCAGCAAUGCCGCGCGCAGGAUGAAGGCCUUCGGGUUGUAAACUGCUUUUGUACGGAACGAAACGGCCCUUUCUAAUACAGGGGGCUAAUGACGGUACCGUAAGAAUAAGCACCGGCUAACUACGUGCCAGCCGCCGCGGUAA